UAGCGAUUUAGAUCAGAUGACUGAAAAGUGGCUAGACUUGGGUGCAUAGAAACCCAGUUUCUGGACAUGGAGUGGGCAGUCUGACAUUGGUUGUCACAAGUCCCUGCUUCAGUCUCUCUGCAUCUUCCAACAGUCAGACAUUCAGGAAAUUUCUCAUUUGAGGCUGCACUCAUAUUUACCAUGUUGUUCAGUACCUACUAAUGGAUCUUUCCUCCAGGAUUUUAACUGAGGUUUAUAAUACACUGUGUAUCAAGAAGCAUCGUUGUGACUGACAUUAAGAAUAAGCUUCAAAUUUAUAUUUGUGUUACAAUGAUUCUCUCAUGAAGCCUAACUGGGUAAUAUUGGGAAGACAUUUAGCAGAUGUUAACUGUCAAAUCAGAGAAGACGAUGUGACGUUGAUAGUCUAUCCUUUUUUCAGACACACCAAGUCUUAGUUGAAAACUUACUUUGAUAUAUUUAUAUCUUUUGAAUGUACGUCUGAUAUUCCGAUCAUAUUAUUUCCAUGUAAACAAAAUUGUAAUUAAAAAUUAAAAAACCCUUAAAUUCCUC